UCGCGCAUGGAUGACGUGCCGCGCUGGAGAUUCAUCGAUUGAUUUCGUUUCCGUUUAUUUCGUCGCCAAAGUCAGUCGCGACUGAUGCGACGGAGCCGUGUGUAGUUAUUUAGUUUAGUGUGUGGUGACAAACGUGCAAUAUGGGGUCGUUGUUCAGGAGUGAGGAGAUGACAUUAUGUCAGCUCUUCCUGCAGAGUGAAGCUGCGUAUGCCUGCGUGUCGGAGUUGGGAGAACUGGGACUUGUGCAAUUUCGCGAUUUAAACCCGGACGUCAAUGCCUUCCAACGCAAGUUCGUCAACGAGGUCCGUCGUUGCGACGAGAUGGAGCGAAAACUCCGAUACCUCGAGAAGGAGAUCCGUCGAGACGGGAUUCCCAUGCUGGAGAUACCUGGAGAGUGCCCAGAGGCACCACAACCCAGAGAGAUGAUCGACCUGGAGGCCACCUUUGAAAAGCUUGAGAACGAGCUCCGCGAGGUGAAUCAAAACGCCGAGGCCCUCAAGAGGAAUUACCUCGAGCUGACAGAGCUCAAGCACAUCCUCAGGAAGACUCAGGUGUUCUUCGACGAGCACGAGGGCGGGGCCGGGACCACAGAGUCCAUGACGCGGGCGCUGAUAUCCGACGACCAGAACAGAAAUGUCGGUCACGUCCAACUGGGUAUGCGGGAUAAGCAGGAGUCGUUGGAAUUCUUACCGUGCUUCGUCGCUGGCGUGAUCCUCCGUGAACGCAUACCUGCUUUUGAGCGUAUGCUGUGGCGCGCCUGCCGAGGCAAUGUCUUCCUUCGUCAAGCUGAGAUCGACUCGCCUCUUGAGGACCCGUCUUCCUCCGACCAGGUGUACAAGUCAGUCUUCAUCAUCUUCUUCCAAGGCGACCAGCUGAAGACCCGCGUCAAGAAGAUCUGCGAGGGUUUCCGCGCCACUCUCUACCCGUGCCCUGAAGCGCCCGCAGACCGCAGGGAGAUGGCUAUGGGAGUCAUGACACGGAUUGAGGAUCUUAACACGGUCCUCGGCCAGACCCAAGACCACCGUCAUCGCGUGCUCGUGGCCGCAGCCAAGAACAUCAAGAACUGGUUCGUCAAAGUGCGCAAGAUCAAGGCCAUCUACCACACCCUGAACCUUUUCAACCUGGAUGUCACCCAGAAGUGUCUCAUCGCUGAGUGCUGGGUCCCAGCUCUAGACCUGGAGACUAUCCAGCUGGCUUUGAGGAGAGGAACGGAACGAUCCGGAAGCUCAGUGCCGCCCAUCCUGAACCGGAUGGAGACGCUCGAGGACCCGCCGACGUACAACCGCACCAACAAGUUCACGUCCGCCUUCCAGAACCUCAUCUAUGCGUACGGUGUCGCCACCUACCGAGAGGUCAACCCUGCUCCAUACACCAUCAUAACGUUCCCGUUCCUGUUCGCCGUGAUGUUCGGCGACCUGGGCCACGGCGCGCUCAUGGCGGCCUUCGGCUUCUGGAUGUGCUACAAGGAGAAGCCGCUGCAGGCCAAGAAGAUUGACAGCGAGAUCUGGACGAUAUUCUUCGGCGGUCGCUACAUCAUCCUCCUCAUGGGCCUCUUCUCGAUGUACACGGGUCUCAUCUACAACGACAUCUUCUCCAAGAGUCUCAACAUCUUCGGCUCAGCGUGGCGAAAUAACUACGACAAGUCCACGUUGCAAGAAAACGCCAUGUUGCAACUCAAUCCGGACUCGUGGGACUAUGUUCAGACGCCGUACCCGUUCGGAAUUGAUCCCGUGUGGCAGCUCGCCGAAGCCAACAAGAUCAUCUUCAUGAACGCCUACAAGAUGAAGAUCUCCAUCAUCAUUGGUGUCUUCCACAUGUUGUUCGGUGUCUGCAUGUCUCUCUGGAACCAUCUGUAUUUCAAGCGCCGCACUAGUGUGUAUGUGGAGUUCGUCCCUCAGAUCGUGUUCCUGGUGCUUCUGUUCUUCUACAUGGUUCUGCUCAUGUUCAUCAAGUGGACCAGCUACGGAUCUACUCCCCCGCACUUCGGAGACCCAAACUACGUGACAACCAGCGCAUUCUGUGCACCCUCCAUCCUGAUCACGUUCAUCAACAUGAUGCUGUUCAAACAAGACGCCAACGACCCCUCGCGGGAGAUGUGUGCGGAGAACAUGACCAUGUUCGCCGGACAACUCGGCCUGCAGAAGUUGUUCGUGGUGGUGGCGCUGCUAUGCGUACCCGUGAUGCUGCUCGGCAAACCGUACUUCAUCAUGCAGGAGCAGAAGAGGCGCGCUUUGGAGCGUUCCGGACACCAGAGCAUCGAGGGCGGCGCCGAGAACGGCACCGCGGGUGGCGCGCCCGUGCCUGCAGGUGGACACCACGACGAGGACAUCACCGAGGUCUUCAUCCACCAGGCCAUCCACACGAUCGAAUACGUGCUAGGAAGCAUCUCCCAUACCGCCUCAUACCUGCGUCUGUGGGCGCUCUCGCUCGCGCACGCGCAGCUGGCUGAGGUGGCCUGGAACAUGCUGCUGAGGAAAGGUCUGCAGUCUAGCGGGUUCUCCGGCGGCAUCUUCCUGUACCUGGUGUUCGCGGGCUGGGCCGCCAUCUCCGUCUCCAUCCUGGUGCUGAUGGAGGGCCUGUCCGCCUUCCUGCACACCCUGCGUCUCCACUGGUACGUCUACCUAGAGUUAUCCUACACCCUAGCCAGUCUAGAGGGUUCUAGAACAUCUGUACCUGGUGUUCGCGGGCUGGCCGCCAUCUCCGUCUCCAUCCUGGUGCUGAUGGAGGGCCUGUCCGCCUUCCUGCACACCCUGCGUCUCCACUGGUACGUCUACCUAGAGUUAUCCUACACCCUAGCCAGUCUAGAGGGUUCUAGAACAUCUGUACCUGGUGUUCGCGGGCUGGGCCGCCAUCUCCGUCUCCAUCCUGGUGCUGAUGGAGGGCCUGUCCGCCUUCCUGCACACCCUGCGUCUCCACUGGUACGUCUACCUAGAGUUAUCCUACACCCUAGCCAGUCUAGAGGGUUCUAGAACAUCUGUACCUGGUGUUCGCGGGCUGGGCCGCCAUCUCCGUCUCCAUCCUGGUGCUGAUGGAGGGCCUGUCCGCCUUCCUGCACACCCUGCGUCUCCACUGGGUGGAGUUCCAGAGCAAGUUCUACGCGGGCGAGGGCUACCUGUUCCAGCCCUUCUCCUUCGAGGUCAUCCUCGAGUCCGCCGGCCAGGGCGAGGAGUAGGCGAGGCGAGCAACCGAGAUUACAGAUAUCGCAGUAGUAUGGCUUUAUAACCUCUGAGCCCUUAGCUGCAUUCCAAUUGAGGGGUGUACGAUCAAGAUAUUAAGUAUCAUGGUAUUGUAGUAUGGUUGACGACCUGCCUGCUACGCCGCGGUCCCGGGUUCGAAUACGACUUUAUUGCCUAUAUAUUAAAGUUGCGAAUAUAAUUUUAGGCACUCUGUCCGCAUCUAUACUUAAUACCUUGACCUUGAUACUUAUUAACUAAUGAAAUUUUUCUAAUACUAAAAGUGCUGAGUGAUUUGGCUUACAAAUUAGAGGAGUUUUGAAUUUAAACUCGAAUUUCUUUCGUAUAAGGAAAAAGCGUAUUUUAAGCGACUUGUCCCUUUACAUUAACUAUUGUAGCCAAUUCAUUAAAUAAAUAUAUUAGAAUUUCUAUUCUUACGUUUGGAUUUCUCGAUUAGACGGAAUUUAACCGCAAAACUAAAGAACAACAAUGAAAAAAAGGCUUAAGAGGUUAGAAAUAUGGUCAAUUUAAUUAUUUUUCUUAUGAUUAAUAUUCAACUUUCGUAUUUAAAUUGUAAACUAGAUGGAUGAAAGCAUAGUAAAAAAAAAUGUUAAAACUUACUUAGAUCUCUUGAAAUGUUGCUUAGCCUACUCGAUGUUAGACAUUAGGUCGAUAGUGAAUCCACGGACUUAAAACCACUUAAUAUUGAACCUAGUGUAAUGCUUGGCAAAAAUAGUAGAAAUUAAAAAUUGGCAACAUCGUCGUGCCAUCCUUUCUUAUAAAUAUGUGUGAGAAACGAGACGUGACGAUAUUGCCACGUUUUUAUUUGUACUCUGUUUUGCCAGACUAUAUUUAUUGGUGUUAUUCUCGCUUCUAAGAUAAGUGUAAUCGUUGAAAUCAUAAUGCUGUAACUAAAUUUUUUAUUUUUUUAUACCAGUCCGUUUUCAAAGGUCCAAAUCAUAGUCAAAGGAAUAUUAAAAUGCCUAAAGUUGUGUGAAAUAUUUUAAUUAUAAAUUUGACAGCUUUCAUCUAUAUGAAGUAAGGUAAACUUCGUUAAACUUAUACGGAAACAUUUUCAUCUUAUCCCCCAAGAAAAACCCUUCAAUCUCACCACAUAUUACCUUAUAUCUACAUUUCUAACUUCAGUAACUUCCUACUUGUUAAAAUUGUGGAAAAUUUCAUCUCAUUUCCAAAAUGAGACUUUCUUUUUUUCUGUAAAAUACUUCUAGAUAUCGGUGAAAAAUAUCUUUUUUUUUUAAACUUUCCGCUACAUAUAUUGGCAUCAACUUAAGCCGUAAAUUUAUCAUUUAUAAUAUUUGACAUACUAUCGCGUUUUGAUUCCUUUGCCUAUGCCACCAAACAUUUUUGUAUGUACAUGUUUUUUUAUUUGCAAUGUAGGAAAUAAAUGUGUGAAUUAAUAAUGUUUGUAUUUCUCUCCCUUGUACUUAAUCUGAUGUAUGGUGUGCUCUCUGUAAGGUAGUUCGAGUCAUUCCAGUAGCAGGUUCACAUGUUGAUGAUCACAGUAAUAAACGUUUAUGUAGAAUGCAA